AUUGAACGCUGGCGGCAGGCCUAACACAUGCAAGUCGAGCGGAUGAAGGGAGCUUGCUCCUUGAUUCAGCGGCGGACGGGUGAGUAAUGCCUAGGAAUCUGCCUGGUAGUGGGGGAUAACGUCCGGAAACGGGCGCUAAUACCGCAUACGUCCUGAGGGAGAAAGUGGGGGAUCUUCGGACCUCACGCUAUCAGAUGAGCCUAGGUCGGAUUAGCUAGUUGGUGGGGUAAAGGCCUACCAAGGCGACGAUCCGUAACUGGUCUGAGAGGAUGAUCAGUCACAGUGGAGGUGAGACACGGUACAGAAUCCUACGGGAGGCAGCAGUGGGGAAUAUUGGAAAAUGGGCGAAAGCCUGAGCAAGCCAUGCCGCGUGUGUGAAGAAGGUCUUCGGAUUGGAAAGCACUUUAAGUUGGGAGGAAGGGAAGUAAGUUAAUACCUUGCUGUUUUGACGUUACCAACAGAAUAAGCACCGGCUAACUUCGUG
rnacentral:rRNA from 1 species